rnacentral:rRNA from 1 species
GGGUCAGCAGGUUGGUCGUGCCACCGGUACGUACUGGUCUCACUGAUUCCUCCUUCCUGAAGAACCGUAAUGCCAUUAAUUUGGUGUUGCGGGGAAACAGGACUGUUACUUUGAAAAAAUUAGGGUGUUUAAAGCAAGCUAACGCUUGAAUACAUUAGCAUGGAAUAAUGAAAUAGGACGAUCGAUCCUAUUUUGUUGGUUUCUAGGAUUGACGUA